GUGCCAGCAGCCGCGGUAAUACGUAGGGUGCGAGCGUUAAUCGGAAUUACUGGGCGUAAAGCGUGCGCAGGCGGUUUUGUAAGUCAGAUGUGAAAUCCCCGGGCUUAACCUGGGAACUGCGUUUGAAACUACAAGGCUAGAGUGUGGCAGAGGGGGGUGGAAUUCCACGUGUAGCAGUGAAAUGCGUAGAGAUGUGGAGGAACACCGAUGGCGAAGGCAGCCCCCUGGGUUAACACUGACGCUCAGGCACGAAAGCGUGGGGAGCAAACAGGAUUAGAUACCCUGGUAGUCC
rnacentral:rRNA from 1 species